GUCUUCAGGGUGAACAUUGUGUUCAGGAUUUGAAGGCGGCCCUGUCAGCAAAGCAGAGGGAAGCAAUGGCUUCCUGCAAGCAACUGCAAGGCCUAGUGGAAGCCUCCUUGCAAAAUGGUAGCCUAAAGCAGCUGGAAGAACGAGUGGGGAGGCUUGAGCUUGAAAACGUGAGGCUGGAAGGCAGAACCCACCAACAAAGUGCCAGAAUCGAAGAGCUUCAGAAAGAGCUGCACAGCUCGGCCACUGUAAGCUGCUCCUAAUAUUUCUUCCUCVUGUAAGAAGCUCCUGGGCCUAGUUCUGUGUAUUUAKGAGGGGACAUUCUGAGAAGAGAUUUUCCUGGGGAGCCUUGGGGAACAGCAUUUCCUGCAGUCURCUUUGGUGCCAAGCAAAGRCASAACUGACAUGCUCCGUCUGUGACAAGG